AUUUUUUGGGUCUUCAUCCCCGUUUUGGGUGGAUCCCCCCCCGGUUUUGGACGGUUUCGCCCCCGAUUUUGGGGGUCUGACACUGAUUUUGGGGGUUCCACCCUUGAUUUUGGGGGGUUUCAUCCCGAUUUUGGGGGUCUCACCCUGAUUUUGGGGGUCUUUGUCCCCGUUUUGGGUGGAUCCCUCCCGGUUUUGGGGGGUUCCACCCUUAUUUUGGGGGUCUCGCCCUGAUUUUUUGGGUCUUCAUCCCCGUUUUGGGUGGA